AUGAAAAUCUCAAAUGAGACCAAAACCCCCGUUAAAGGGGUGAAGGGUCCCUGUUGGCUUAGCAAACUUAAAUGUUAUAACCUUAUCAAAGGCACUGCCAUAGAUUACAUGCACUCAGUCCUUCUUGGAGUAAUGCGCCUUCUGAUGGUUCUGUGGUUUUCUCCAGAGUUUUCUCGUCAGCCCUUCAGCAUGGCAAAAAAUGCAAAGGAAAUUGACAGGCGAUUUCAGGAUAUCUCUCCUCCAUCCUCCACUCGAUAUCCUCGAUUAGUGACAUCUCACAGAAUGUUUUUUAAAGCAUCAGAAUAUCGGGAUAUUUUGAUCUUCUAUGGACCUGUUGUUUUCCGUGGAAUUCUUGCAACACUGUACUACAAGCACUUCCUUCUACUAAGUGAAGCCAUUUUCAUUUUGUUGAUGGAAUCCAUAUCAGUUGAACAGAUUAAUCAUGCAGAGAAACUACUGUGGAACUUUUGUUCCCAAAUGGCUAAUCUAUAUGGUGAGCGGUACGAAACUGCAAAUGUACACCUUCUUGUGCACCUAGCAGACAGUGUGAAGGCCCUUGGUCCAUUAUGGACUCAUUCGUGUUUCCAUUUUGAGGACAAGAAUGGCUAUUUGUUAAGGCUCAUACAUGGCACUCAAAAUAUACCUAUGCAGAUGGUCCAUGCAGUCAAACUUGUGCAGUCUAUUCCUGUUAUUUCACAAACCAUAAAACCAGGGAAUGCCAUAGCUGAAUUUUACACACGGAUGACUAAAGAUGAUAGUUUCUGUCAGGAAAACAAUGAUUUGUCUAGGACCAAACUAUAUGGAGCAUCUAGUGAACUUCAACUGGACACAGUUCAACUCUCUACAUUGGAAAGACAUACUGGUCAUUGCAUCAGUUCUAAAACAGUAAGGAUCUUUCACAGGGCACAAGUUAAGAGAAAUUAUCUCACAUCAAAACACUAUGGGAAAGGCAAUAGAAGAAACAAUUUUACAGUCAUUUUUUCUAGUGAUGGACAAAGAAAGUAUGGACAGAUUGAGUACUUCUUUACCUCAGAACAUUCAUAUGCCAAAUGGGCCCUUGUUCAUGAAUUCAAAGUUGCUGGUUUUUCUUUGCUGCAUGAUAGUGUAACAAAUGGUACAUGCAGUCAUGUUGUUCCCCUAUUGGAAACCUCUGUUAAUACAGUAGUUUCCUUGGAUCAUAUAUUGGGUAAAGUUGUUUUCUUUGACUUGACAUCUAUGCCUGGCAUUGUUUUUGUAGCUAAUUUCCCAAACACACUUGAAAAGUUUUAA
ensembl:lncRNA